GCGGCGAGCGAUGCGGGAAGAGCUCAAAUUUAUAAUCUGGCACCUUCGGUGUCCGAGUUGUAAUCUCUAGAAGUGUUUUCCGCGUUGGACCGCACACAAGUCUGUUGGAAUACAGCGGCAUAGUGGUGAGACCCCCGUAUAUGGUGCGGACGCCCAACGCUUUGUGAUACACUUUCGAAGAGUCGAGUUGUUUGGGAAUGCAGCUCAAAUUGGGUGGUAAAUUCCAUCUAAAGCUAAAUAUUGGCGAGAGACCGAUAGCGAACAAGUACCGUGAGGGAAAGAUGAAAAGCACUUUGGAAAGAGAGUUAACAGUACGUGAAAUUGUUGGAAGGGAAACGCUUGAAGUCAGACUUGCUUGCCGAGCAAUCGGUUUGCAGGCCAGCAUCAGUUUUCCGGGGUGGAUAAUGGUAGAGAGAAGGUAGCAGUUUCGGCUGUGUUAUAGCUCUUUGCUGGAUACACCUUGGGGGACUGAGGAACGCAGUGUGCCUUACGGCGGAUUUCUCGAGAUCUUCACACUUAGGAUGCUGGUGGAAUGGCUUUAAACGACCCG
rnacentral:rRNA from 1 species